AGAGUUUGAUCCUGGCUCAGAUUGAACGCUGGCGGAAUGCUUUACACAUGCAAGUCGAACGGCAGCACGGGGGCAACCCUGGUGGCGAGUGGCGAACGGGUGAGUAAUACAUCGGAACGUGCCCAGUCGUGGGGGAUAACGUAGCGAAAGCUACGCUAAUACCGCAUACGAACUCUGGUUGAAAGCGGGGGAUCGCAAGACCUCGCGCGAUUGGAGCGGCCGAUGGCAGAUUAGGUAGUUGGUGGGGUAAAGGCUCACCAAGCCGACGAUCUGUAGCUGGUCUGAGAGGACGACCAGCCACACUGGGACUGAGACACGGCCCAGACUCCUACGGGAGGCAGCAGUGGGGAAUUUUGGACAAUGGGCGCAAGCCUGAUCCAGCCAUUCCGCGUGCAGGAUGAAGGCCCUCGGGUUGUAAACUGCUUUUGUACGGAACGAAAAGGCCUGGGUUAAUACCUCGGGCUCAUGACGUACC
rnacentral:rRNA from 1 species